UACGUAGGGGGCGAGCGUUGUCCGGAGUUACUGGGCGUAAAGGGCGCGCAGGCGGUCUGGCAAGUUUGGAGUGACAGUGCUCGGCUUAACUGAGCAAGGCCUUCGAAAACUGCUAGACUUGAGCACUCAAGAGGGACAUAGAAUUCCGGGUGGAGUGGUGAAAUGCGUAGAUAUCCGGAGGAAUACCAAAGGCGAAGGCAGUGUUCUGGGGAGUGUCUGACGCUCAGGCGCGAAAGCUAGGGGAGCGAACAGG
rnacentral:rRNA from 1 species